rnacentral:rRNA from 1 species
GUAGGUGGCAAGCGUUGUCCGGGAAUUAUUGGGGCGUGAAGCGCGCGCAGGCGGUUCUUUAAGUCUGAUGUGAAAGCCCACGGGCUCAACCGUGGAGGGUCAUUGGAAACUGGAGAACUUGAGUACAGAAGAGGAAAGCGGAAUUCCACGUGUAGCGGUGAAAUGCGUAGAGAUGUGGAGGAACACCAGUGGCGAAGGCGGCUUUCUGGUCUGUAACUGACGCUGAGGCGCGAAAGCGUGGGGAGCAAACAGGAUUAGAUACCCUGGUAGUCCACGCCGUAAACGAUGAGUGCUAAGUGUUAGGGGGUUUCCGCCCCUUAGUGCUGCAGCUAACGCAUUAAGCACUCCGCCUGGGGAGUACGGCCGCAAAGGCUG